CUAAUUUCAGCAGUUGCUGAAAAUUUUCUCGUUCAGCACUAUAGCAUUACCCUCCUACUGUUAUCAAUUAUCACAUAAUUAAAAUUUCUUUCAAAAUCCAAAAAACACUCGAAGAGAAAGAAGAGAAGGAUGAGAGCUCACCGAAACCCUAAAGCUCUCCAUCGCCAUCUCCAUCGCCACCAUCGCCGCCAUCGCCGCCGCUAAAGUUAAUCUCCUUUCUGCUUCUGCUAUAAAGCUACUGAAAUCGAGCCAAGGCGCUUCCUUCAUCAACGCGUUUUCAGAUCUAAUUGCAACGCCCAAGCCUCUGAGAUCGAGAGAAAUCGCUUCUUCGGUUAACUCUCCUUGGCCAAUGACGCUCGUGUUCUCCAUCGAUAUUCUAUCCUUUCUCACUCCAAGUGUUCGAUGAAUUGUUUAUUCUCAAGCACUCCAAGUGUCAUGAAAAAUAGGAGAGGAAUGAGAGGCUAUUUUAUAAGUUUCUGAUUGAUAACAUGGAGGAACUGCUUCUUGUCCAACUAUUAGAGAAGCCUGCCAGAAAUAUGGAAGCAUUUUUCGUCGACCGCAGGGUCUAUACAUUAGAUUGAAAGUGAAGUAUGGUUUUUUAUUUAUAUUUAUUGUUCUGUUUUCAUCAUUUAGCCUUUGAGGUGAAAAAAAGAAAGAUAAGAAGAGAUACUAAGUGUUUGAGACUCUACAGAGGCUAGAUCCUUAAAGUAAUGAAAAACUGGCUAGAGAAAAGCACUCAAGUUAUUGUCACUAAUGACAAGCAAAUAUUAGGACUCGGAGAUCUUGGUUGCCAGGCUGUUGUUUUCACAGAUAUUAGUCUUGAGAAAGUUAUUGAGUUCAAUGAUUUUUGCCACACUCAUCAGCUUCCUAUUGCUUUUAUCAAAACUGAAGUUAGAAGUUUUUUUGCAGAGGAAAAGCCAGUUCUGGACUCAGAACUUUGGCAUGCAUGUGCUGGUCUCCUUGUUUCUUUACCUGCAGUUGGGAGCCAUGUGGUGUACUUUUCACAAGGUCAUAGUGAACAAGCGAAGUUUCUAAUAUGUUUCAACUCAAAAUAUUUUCAAGUUGGUUGAUAUUUUGAAGUGUAUUGAGGCACAGUUAUCUAAUCACAGAUCCUGAUGCGGAAGGAACUUGGCAUCAAAAGGAUUUUCUGGAACACUUUCUCCCUCAAUUGCCAAAUUGAAAUACUUGGUUAGCUUAAGAUGCCUUGCUUCCAAUUCCUAAGGUUUCUAUGAUCUUCUGAGAAAGAGAAAGCAUUUCAAGACUCUUCAGACAAAAAUAUAGCAGAUGGUUUGUUUAGAAUUAGUAAAGCUGAUUCUAUCAAGAAACAAGGUAUGAGAAGGACAUGCUAUAUUGGCUGCAGUCACAAUGUGACUGUAGAAGAAGAUGAGCAACUAAGACAACUGAAGUCAGUCACUGGAAGGAGAGAGAGAUUAAUGGGACCGAGAGGAGAUUGUUUGGAGGCUGCUCGUUAACUCCUAGCUUCCCUGUUACUUAGAGCACUUGGUUAAUGCAGGAUGAAUUUUGUUAAACUUGUUGACCAAUUAUAUGAUAUUUUUAGUAUGAUUGAAAAAUAUACUCCCUAAAGGUUUUCUAGGAUUGCAUUCAUAUUUUUAUUUUGAGAUUUUUAUGUAAUUAGAUGAUAUUGAAAUAUUGAAGUUGUUUUAUUUUACUUUUUAAAGAAAAACAAUAAUAGUUAUGUAAAGGAAUAUCAUAUGGAAUUAUGUUUGAAACUA